UUACGGUCAAAUCACGCUGAAACACCGGUUCUCGUUCGAUCACCGAAGUUAAGCAUCGUAGAGCCAGGUCAGUACUUAGAUGGGGGACCGCUUGGGAACAACUGGUACUGUAAG
rnacentral:rRNA from 1 species